AUCGCUUGUGUAGCAAUACAUGAGCGGUUCUAGUGGCGCACGGGUGAGUAACACGUGGGCAACCUGCCCUAGAGUCCGGGAUACCCUCUCGAAAGGGAGGCUAAUACUGGAUACGUUCCUUGGGUCGCAAGAUCUGGGGAGGAAAGGUGGCGAAAGCUACCGCUUUUGGAGGGGCUCGCGGCCUAUCAGCUAGUUGGUGAGGUAAUGGCUCACCAAGGCUAUGACGGGUAGCUGGUCUGAGAGGACGACCAGCCACACGGGAACUGAGACACGGUCCCGACUCCUACGGGAGGCAGCAGUGGGGAAUUUUCCGCAAUGGGCGAAAGCCUGACGGAGUGACGCCGCGUGGGGGACGAAGGCCUUCGGGUCGUAAACCCCUGUCAGAGGGAAAGAAGGGUCGCCGACCUAACACGUCGGUGAUCUGACGGUACCUUCAGAGGAAGCCCCGGCCAACUCUGUGCCAGCAGCCGCGGUAAGACAGAGGGGGCAAGCGUUGCUCGGAAUCACUGGGCGUAAAGGGCGCGUAGGCGGGAUGGCAAGUCAGUCGUGAAAUCUCUCGGCUCAACCGAGAAACGUCGGCUGAUACUGCCGUUCUUGAGGGAUGCAGAGGAGACUGGAAUUCCCGGUGUAGCGGUGAAAUGUGUAGAGAUCGGGAGGAACACCGGUGGCGAAGGCGGGUCUCUGGGCAUUUCCUGACGCUGAGGCGCGAAAGCGUGGGGAGCAAACGGGAUUAGAUACCCCGGUAGUCCACGCUGUAAACGAUGACGACUA
rnacentral:rRNA from 1 species